UGUACUAUGUAUUCAUUAUGU
rnacentral:piRNA from 1 species